GGGUUGUGAGGUUAAGCGACUAAGCGUACACGGUGGAUGCCUUGGCAGUCAGAGGCGAUGAAGGACGUGCUAAUCUGCGAUAAGCGUCGGUAAGGUGAUAUGAACCGUUAUAACCGGCGAUUUCCGAAUGGGGAAACCCAGUGUGAUUCGUCACACUAUCAUUAACUGAAUCCAUAGGUUAAUGAGGCGAACCGGGGGAACUGAAACAUCUAAGUACCCCGAGGAAAAGAAAUCAACCGAGAUUCCCCCAGUAGCGGCGAGCGAACGGGGAGCAGCCCAGAGCCUGAAUCAGUAUGUGUGUUAGUGGAAGCGUCUGGAAAGGCGCGCGAUACAGGGUGACAGCCCCGUACACAAAAAUGCACAUGCUGUGAGCUCGAUGAGUAGGGCGGGACACGUGGUAUCCUGUCUGAAUAUGGGGGGACCAUCCUCCAAGGCUAAAUACUCCUGACUGACCGAUAGUGAACCAGUACCGUGAGGGAAAGGCGAAAAGAACCCCGGCGAGGGGAGUGAAAAAGAACCUGAAACCGUGUACGUACAAGCAGUGGGAGCACGCUUAGGCGUGUGACUGCGUACCUUUUGUAUAAUGGGUCAGCGACUUAUAUUCUGUAGCAAGGUUAACCGAAUAGGGGAGCCGAAGGGAAACCGAGUCUUAACUGGGCGUUAAGUUGCAGGGUAUAGACCCGAAACCCGGUGAUCUAGCCAUGGGCAGGUUGAAGGUUGGGUAACACUAACUGGAGGACCGAACCGACUAAUGUUGAAAAAUUAGCGGAUGACUUGUGGCUGGGGGUGAAAGGCCAAUCAAACCGGGAGAUAGCUGGUUCUCCCCGAAAGCUAUUUAGGUAGCGCCUCGUGAAUUCAUCUCCGGGGGUAGAGCACUGUUUCGGCAAGGGGGUCAUCCCGACUUACCAACCCGAUGCAAACUGCGAAUACCGGAGAAUGUUAUCACGGGAGACACACGGCGGGUGCUAACGUCCGUCGUGAAGAGGGAAACAACCCAGACCGCCAGCUAAGGUCCCAAAGUCAUGGUUAAGUGGGAAACGAUGUGGGAAGGCCCAGACAGCCAGGAUGUUGGCUUAGAAGCAGCCAUCAUUUAAAGAAAGCGUAAUAGCUCACUGGUCGAGUCGGCCUGCGCGGAAGAUGUAACGGGGCUAAACCAUGCACCGAAGCUGCGGCAGCGACGCUGAUGCGUUGUUGGGUAGGGGAGCGUUCUGUAAGCCUG
rnacentral:rRNA from 1 species